rfam:Pseudomonas sp. HPB0071 genomic scaffold aczIi-supercont1.1, whole genome shotgun sequence.
CCUACCGAGGGGCGCUGCAGCAGGGUUUCCCUGUCAGGCUCGGGGGAGCGUAGCCGCAGGCCUAGCCUGCACACGCAUCAACGGCGCCCAUUCGCA